UCUUGAAAUUGUGAAUUUAAUUAUUUUUUUUUUCCCUUAAGAACUAAAAUAUUGGGUAGGAUUUCUCUCUGUUAAAAAGAUGUCUGGGAAAUGUGUAAAACCUUUGAAUGUGUAUGCACUUUUGAGUCGAAGAAGAUAGAGUAUUGCUAGUAUGUAACUUUAAAAGUUUUUUUUUUUUUGGAAGACUGUUUAGAAAUUGUAAUUUGAUAAAGCCAUCCACAGUAUUUCAAAGUUUUGCUUAAACCAAAUGACAGAAAAGGAGCCCAAACCAAAAGCCAGAAAAUUAAUUUUAUGGGGAUUGCCCUUCUUAGACAAGGGAAAAAAUGUUUGGUUCAUAAGAAAUUAUUCAGUCUGAAUUCCAGCAUCAUUUCAGUUUCUUUGGUUUAAGCUGAUCUCUGCUGAAAAGUAGUCAGUGAUUUCUACAGAGAUCCUCAGAGGACUUCUAGUAAUUUCAAGGUGAUGUUCCUUUGUGAUGGGUGAUUUCCAGCACUCCUGCUUCAGUUGUCACAGGUGAAAACUCAGCAGGAAUCACACAGAUAGUUAAAUACAGUGGAUCAUCACAAGCUCGUGAUCAAGCUGUCUUCAGGCUUAUUGAUUGCUACAGAGCAUUGGUGGAAAACAAUACUGGUGUACAAUUCAAAGGAAAACAGCCGGCACCACAACAAAGAUUACCAAAGAACAAAUCGAUGUCACAAAAUACCCUUACCAUGUCCUGUAGUGA
rnacentral:lncRNA from 1 species